CUACGCCUCAGUGAGCGCCCCAAAGAACCCUAGAUAUGGUCUCUUCCUAGUCCGUUCCGGAAAUGCGACUGCGUACGGGCUCGCCACGUGAUCGUGACGUCAGCGCGCCGGCGCGGGCGCCGGCUGGCCGGACGCCCAAGGCUUCCGCGACAUUUUCGGUGGGUGAAAGGCCGCUUUACGCCACGGUGUUGCUGCGUUUGGGUUCUCUUCUGCAGGCUCUCUGCACCUGGUCACGAUUCACAAUGUACCACAAUAGUAGCCAGAAGCGGCACUGGACUUUCUCCGGUGAAGAGCAGCUGGCAAGAUUGCGGGCCGACGCCAACCGCAAAUUCAGAUGCAAAGCAGUGGCCAACGGGAAGGUUCUUCCGAAUGAUCCAGUCUUUCUUGAGCCUCAUGAAGAAAUGACACUCUGUAAAUACUAUGAGAAAAGGUUACUGGAAUUCUGUUCAGUGUUUAAGCCGGCAAUGCCAAGGUCUGUUGUGGGUACAGCUUGUAUGUAUUUCAAGCGUUUUUAUCUUAAUAAUUCAGUAAUGGAAUAUCAUCCCAGGAUAAUAAUGCUCACUUGUGCAUUUUUGGCCUGCAAAGUAGAUGAAUUCAAUGUAUCUAGUCCUCAGUUUGUUGGAAACCUUCGGGAGAGUCCUCUUGGACAGGAGAAGGCACUUGAACAGAUACUGGAGUAUGAACUACUACUUAUACAGCAACUUAAUUUCCACCUUAUUGUCCACAAUCCUUACAGACCAUUUGAAGGCUUCCUCAUUGACUUAAAGACCCGAUAUCCCAUGUUGGAGAAUCCAGAGAUUUUGAGGAAAACAGCUGAUGACUUUCUUAAUAGAAUUGCAUUGACGGAUGCUUACCUUUUAUACACACCUUCCCAAAUUGCCCUGACUGCCAUUUUAUCUAGUGCCUCCAGGGCUGGAAUUACUAUGGAAAGUUAUUUAUCAGAGAGUCUGAUGCUGAGAGAGAACAGAACUUGCCUGUCACAGUUACUAGAUAUAAUGAAAAGCAUGAGAAACUUAGUAAAAAAGUAUGAACCACCCAGAUCUGAAGAAGUUGCUGUUCUGAAACAGAAGUUGGAGCGAUGUCAUUCUGCUGAGCUUGCACUUAAUGUAAUCUCGAAGAAGAGGAAAGGCUAUGAAGAUGAUGAUUAUGUCUCCAAGAAAUCCAAACAUGAGGAGAUCGCCAAACUUUGGCAUCAGAGCAAGGUCCACACUUACCACUGAAAAUUUUCCCACCCAGCCCCAUUAAAAAAGUUAAAGUUUGAGAGAUUUUAUUUCAACACUGACAAGCUAGUUACUACCUACAAAGGUUAUCUCAAUUCUCCUCUCACAAAAAAACCUUCAAGGACAAAACGAGAUGUUAUGAAAUGCUACAUAGGUUAUAAUGAGGAAGAUCACUAAAGGAAGAAGGAGAAAAAGAAUUAAGAAAAUGUUUUGACAUCAAACUUCUUUAUUCCUUUAGUUCUACUAUCAAAUAAGCCCCCUAUUUCAGCUUAAAAAGAAAAUUAUUUCUACCAGUAUCUUCUUGGAAAAAUACACCUUUUCUACCAUAAAACAAUGAUACAGAGAAAAUGAAGUCAAGAGGAAAAUUCUUUAUUCAUUAGGUAAAUUUUGGUUUUACUGCUGAAAAUAUAAGGUAAAAUCGCAAAACAUCCAAAGAAAGUUGAGUGAGAUACACUGCCUCUAAGAGAAAAGACAAAGAUAUAUUACCUCUAAAACAGAAACAACUUGAAAGGCAACGAAAAUGUUGGAAGACAGAAAACUAUCUUUAAAACGGCAAAAGAAAAUGACUGCCAAUCUUUAAUAUCCAGCAAAACAUUUUAAUAAAUAAAUGUAAAGCUAUCAAUACAAUAAGAUCCAGCUAUGAAAAAAUGGUGUAAAAAUUAAUUACCACAUGGAUAUUCACUAGAAUAACUUUGUAUCACUAAGACAUCUUUCUACUUGCGCUUCUGAAAUUGUUAAUAUUUAAAGUAAUGCAGUAUUAAAAGUUAGAAGUUUAAUACAAGGAAAUAGAGGACUUGGAGUUUUCUUAAUAUUGAAAAUAAACUGGAAAAAUUACACAGCUGUGUAACUAGAGCCAUGCAAGAAAAAAGCAGUGCCAUCCAACAUUCAUUCAGCAUCAGGCUGAGCAAGUACACUAAUCACCUACUACAGAAGGCUGCUAUUAAUUUUCAUAUUAGACUUCAUCUAAAUACCAAAGGUCAACAUACCAGGUUCUAGGUACACACAAAGCAGGAAAUGUUCCAUGCUGGCAUUAAUAUGAUAACAUAAAGAAAAAGCAUUAACAUUAAUGUACAAUUUCCCCUACUGUCCUCUGGCAUUUGUAUCGUAUUAUGAUUCAUUCUUUAUCAACCUAUUUUUUAUUUGUCCUAUUAUAUGGUAGAGAUGUCUUCUCACUUUCUUGAAAUUUACUUUGUUAAUGCCAUUUGCCUUGGCAUUCAAUCUUCCUCACUGUUUCUCUUACUGUUUCACAGAAAGGCACGUUUUUUUUUUUUUUUUUGAGACGGAGUUUCGCUCUUGUUACCCAGGCUGGAGUGCAAUGGCGCGACCUCGGCUUACCGCAACCUCUACCUCCUGGGUUCAGGCAAUUCUCCUGCCUCAGCCUCCUGAGUAGCUGGGAUUACAGGCACACGCCACCGUGCCCAGCUAAUUUUUUUUUGCAUUUUUAGUAGAGACGGGGUUUCACCAUGUUGACCAGGAUGGUCUCGAUCUCUUGACCUUGUGAUCCACCCGCCUUGGCCUCCCAAAAUGCUGGGAUUACAGGCUUGAGCCACCGCGCCCGGCCAGAAAGGCACAUAUUAAAAAAAAAAACAGCUGACUGUAAACUAGCAUACUUUGAAAAAAAUAUUUUUAUUUUGUUUUAUUAGAGACAGGGUCUCACUCUGCUGUGGGUGUAGUGGUACACAGUCAGCCCUCUGCAAACAUUUACCUCCUGGGAUCAGACAAUCCUCAUACUUCACCCUCCUGAGUAGCUGGGACCACAGGUGCGCACUACCACACCUGGCUAAUUUUUUAAAGAGACGGGUUUCACUAUGUAGGCCCAGGCUGGUCUCCAACUCCUGGGCUCAAGUGAUCAGCUUAACUUGGGCUCCCAAAGUGCUAGGAUUAGAGGUGUGAGCCACCGUGCCCAUACAUAAAAAAAAUCUGUUUUCUAAAUAAUGAGACACUUUAGUUCCUACGAACAUAACUUUUUCAUACUAGGUUUCAGACUUAGUAUCAUUAACUAUAAGUCAUAACGAAGACUUUUUUAAAAAAAAAAAUCUUUAAGUUCUUUUAAGUCACCUUCAGCAAGAAACUGCACAAGCAGCAAGCUACAACCUUAUAGCAAGUUGUAAAUGUGUAUUUAUUGCUUUUCCCCCUACCAGAUAGAAAUUCCUUUCUUGUUGGUAACCAGAAUAGGAAUCAUUCAGAAUCUUUUAACUUGUACUUCAAGGAUCUGAUCCUUCAUUAACUCUAGCAAUUCUUUCUCUUUUACUGCCAAGUGUAAUGUGGAUCUUUCUUUUGAUUGUGCCAAUAGAUUUCCAAUCUAACUGCAUCUGUUCAUAUAAAGUUUACUGAAAUAAUGCUAAAGCUUUUUGUAUGAUCUUACAGAUAUUGCUAUAUUAAUCUUAAUACUUUAAGAUUCAUAUCAUUCCAGUUGUAAGUAUCACUAGUGAAUCAUUUUUAACCUCACUUUUCCAAGGCUGAAUUUCUGCCUGAAAUCCAUAAACUGUCAAAACAUGUACCUAUAAUUUGAGGAAGUUCACUCAUUCUUCAGUAAAUCUACAAAAUGAGAAUCAUUCACCAAAAAAGUUUUCUCCUGUAAUCAUAAACUUUUAUCAAAACUCUUCUUUUGGACAGCUAACAUGCUCCAGCAUCCAACAGUAGGUAUUUUGAUUCCAUCUCACAUAAGACUGAAAACAGAUGCAGCUGAAGCAGCUCAGAUUUUAUUAGAGCCUCCAUUUAAUAAUAUUUAACAUGGAAUUCAGGUCUACAAACAUAAGACAAUCUUCAUAUAAAUCUUUGAAUGUUCCUAUCAUGAUGCCUCAUCAUCAAUCAUAAACGUAACUCGCAUUUCCAUAGGACCUUCUUUGUUUCAAAUGUAUUUCUUUUCUGGCCUAGUGAGUUAAAUCUUUAUCUUAUGAAUCUAAUUACUUUCCAGUGUUAGUCAGCAAAUUGCCCUUAUGGUGGGAAAAUAAGUAUCUGUAAAUUAAAGCUAAUUUAUAAAGUAGUAACAAUGAAAAAGAUAUCAAAUUCAUUAUGUUAUUUUCAAGAACCUCCUUAUAUAUUUUGCAAUGAUAAUUAAAACAAUUUGAACUUCUGUUAAUAGAAAAAAUGUAAGAAACAAAAUGAGACAGUUUCUGCUUUAACACAAGAAGUAGCUUCAUAAUGAUCAACAAGAAACUGUGAGUAAAGUAAUAUUCAGAGUACCUGGAUGACUGAACAAGUAGGAAGUACUGAACUAUAGCCACUAUAAAAAACUCUCUCCAAAUGUUAUGCACCAUUCUUUUGCCCCAAUAAAAUAAUGAAUUAAAACAGUUUUUACAGGAUGACAGGAUUUCAAGUGUUACAAUUUUUGAAAUAUAAAACAUUUGUUAAAUGUUUGUACUACGAUAGGAUUUUACAACCACUAGUAUCUCAAGGGACACCUAUACUGAUUAAUUGAACACUGGUUGGGAAGCUCUCCUCAACUAUUCAAAUAAAUUUAUACCCAUCCUCCAAGAAUCAAGAACCACCUAUUUCAUAUUACUGAUCUCAACAGAGUUGUUCCAAAAAUACCUUACUGUUUUAACUGUUUUCAUGAUAAUAAACUACACUUAGUAGGGAAUAAUGUUGUCUCCCCAACAUCCAUUUCAAACAUACAUAUAAGUAUAGCAGCCUCACUAUUUGGGUGCGAUCAUUUCCAGCCACAGGUCUGGGCACAAAAGGGCCUCCUCAUUCUAUCAGGAUAAUCCCAUUCCUUUUACCUCAGGUAACCCAGAACUAAAAAUUGGUUCAGAGGUGACUCAACAGCAUGUUUUCAAGAUUUUUAAUAAUUAAGGGAGAGAAUGCUUACAGCCCUUUCUCUGGUGCUGUUUGCCACCUUGCUACCAUGUAGGGAACUGGUUGAGGAAUUCAACCCACAAGAAGGGUGCAGAGUAGAACUAAAGAGAAAAGGAGGCAGAGGCCUGAUCCAACCACAUUUGAAGGCUAAGAUUAUCAGGUUGUUGAAGGAGGGGGAAAAAAAUCUCAAGAAAUCCUAUCUCACCCAACCCUUGUGUUUUUUGGAGCAACUCUUUAUGAGUUAUUAGAGAGUAUUCAGGGGGAAAAAAGGAAGGUAUCUUUGUAAAAUAAAUUUAUGAAGUAAAUCAUACUAUUUUAGACAUGCACAAUAUAAAUACUAAGGUAGCAAAAAGCCAUGCUAUAAGUAAAACUAUUUAUUCAAUCAGCAUUUCCCAAACUUGUUUGAUCAUUUUUUAAAAUUGUCAAAAUCACAUAUAACACUAAUGUGAUCUCCUAAACACACGCUGAAAAAAGAAGUGACAAGGCUAUAUAUUUUAGAUAUUUCUCUUGAAGAGAAAUAUUUCAACAGGAUAAAACAUACAGAAAUGCCAUCCUGUAGCAGAAAAACAGCUGCUGAAACAUUUGUUUUAACUGCCUUUUUUCUUAUUAAUUAUAAAAAUGAGUAACAAAAGUAGUAAAUACAUCUAAGAAGACUGGGAUGGAUUACUGAUAAUACUAAUAGUGAAAGGUAAAGAAAGGGCCUUGUUCUUGAGCAAAAAUCCAGAUGUAAUCAAAAGCUGGAUUUGUCUUGUGAUGUUUAGGAUUCAGCUUAUACAUUUAUAUUCAUUUUUUAAAAACCGAGAAAAUCAAUGUAAGAAGAAUUUUUUUUUAUUUCAAAUACAUUUUUCCUAUCAAAACAAUUUUAAUAUUUUUAAAUAUUAACUUUCUUAAGAACUUUUACAGAGUUAAUAGCAGAAUUGAGUGCAGCUAGUACUAUUGGGUGCACUGAGGUAAAAGCAUGUGGAAAAAAACAGAGGAAAGGUGACAAAGACUCUAAGUCACUCAAAAGAUUGCUGGUGGGGGCAGGGAGGAAACAUAUACUACAGCAAAUGUCAUUCCAAAGAUUUCUAUGCAGUACAAUGGAGUAGACUUUAUGCAUACGUUAGUCUAAAAUUAAGCAAAGAAGGCAAAAAUUACCUAGAAAGUAAAUUUGCUUUUAGAACAUGAUCUUAGGGCUCUCAAAAUUGGUUUAACUUUAUACCCACUAUUUUAUUGUUAAGACAAUUCCAAAAGAAAACCAUCUUACCUGUCAAAGAGACUAUCGUGAACAACAUAGACAGAACAGACACUGAGAUCUAUUAAUCCUUUUGGUUUUGUAGCUCGUUUUUCACUUUCGAAAUAAAUAAGUUGGGCAUCACUACCCUCUAAGAUAAAGUACAAAUUUUUCCAACGUUUUCCUUUGCCUGUUUUUUUUAAAAAAACAAACAAAACGCUUUUAGCAAACAAUAAAUUGUGAAAUCCUAUAUAUGUGUUGUUGAAAAUAAUUAAAAAUGAAUCAAUUUUUAUUCCAAAGUUUAUGUAAUAUGCCAAUGCUUACAUAAUGAGAAAAUUCCUGUAACGAACAUGUACAAAAACGCCUUUUGUUAUAUUACUUGUUUUAAUUAGUCACAGAGUAUAUCGUCAGAGAUUUCAACAUGAUGAAAUCAUGAGAAUUCUUGUUUUGGAGUAAUUAUUUUCCAGCUUUAAGAAAAAAUUCUUCCACUGAAGGAUACCCCUAGCCACAAUUCCCCAACAUGCCUUUAUGUCAAAUUGAGGAAAAUCUGUAAAAUAUCAAUACUAUGAUGGGCCAUGUGCCAUAAGGAGUAACUAAAAGAAAAAGGAAAAAAAAAAAAAAAAAAACAUGGACAGAAGAAAUAAAGAUUCUGGUUGAAACUGUAGACCUUUAAUAUACCUACACUCUUAAUUUUGAAGGAUGCUUAUAUGUAGGCUGUAAACAAGUGUCAAUUACUAAUAACUCAUGUCAAAACAACUUAUUGACUAUGUAUUACAAUAAUUUGGAGCACCAUAUUUACAGUGUCUCUAUCAAAUUGGUUAAUGAUAAAAUUCUGAAAUUACUUACCCUUUUUCAGAAGAUAACCUUUCUUAACAAUAUUUUUAUAAAAGGCAUCCUUUGUUUUACGACGGAUGGUAUUAUAGAUUUCCUUGCCAUCCACUGUGUCAUUGAGUACUUGUUCUUGAUCCUGAAUUUUAAAAACAUUAAAAUUAUUUUAUACAUUCUUGAUGGAAAUGAGGUAAAAAUCUAUUAAAUUACCAAUUAAAAGCCAAAGUGCUUAAAAUACUAAAAUCUAGAUGUACAUAACACAUAAACAGUCUUUUGCUUUCCAAAUAAAUUCUCAGAAAGGUUUACUUAUUUUUUUCCCAAGAACACAGACAACAACUUUCACAGAAAGGUUUCCUUGCCAUUCCCAAGAACAAGUUGUCUUUUUCUAUGUACAACUAAUAAACUAUUUUUAAAUACAGUCAGUUAUAUUUUACAGCAAACAAUGUAUUAAAAACAUAAACUUGUCCCAGCAUAACUAAAUUGGGACCCAAUAUAAGCAUAAAGCAAAAUCAUGUUUGCUUAUGCACAAUUAUGUCUGUAGAAAUGCUAGCUGAAUACAGACAACAGAACCCAGGUGAACUAAUAAGUAAGAAUGUACAAAAUAUACACACCUCAAAUACCUAACAAUUCCCUCAAUUCACUAAGUGUGUCACAUGCUACACCCAUCCAUCCAUAGCUAGUGUUAAAACCCUGAUUUCAGAUAAUCCUCCUCUGCCAUUCUGCAACAUUCCCAUGCUUCAACCCUACCAAUGGCCAUUUCCACAUGACUUUCCACUUCAGGCCUUUAUUCAAGGUAAAGUGCCAUAUUUAUUGUAGUAUGUACAUAUUUGUUAAUCAUUUUGCAUAUAUAAAACUAAGCAACAUAUUAGGUUCUUACUUUCUUAAUAUAUCACUGAUGAAAUUUGUGUUACACCCCUGACCUCACUUUUCCCAAAAGCCCUGUGAUUUUUAUUGCCUGAUUUUGCAUAAUGCCAUUUUUAGGAUUGCAUGUUACAUUUUGGCAGAACGGACAUAAAUUGCUAAAUCCCCUGAAAAAAAGAAUUAUAUCAGGAAGCCUUUAUUAUGAUCCUUCCAUAAUAAACGAAUCUUUUACUAUCAAGGUGAAUUGUUUUCGUUUUUCUAUUUCUUUUUUGGCAUAGUUCUUAUAUUUUGCAAGCAUUAAUAUUUUAUGACUUUUAGUCCAUCUUACAAACUUCAUUGUUCCAUUCAAUCCUCUUAUAAAUCUAAGAUAUGCUGUGGUAUUUUCAUAAUUCUCUCUCUCUCUCCUUUAUCUUGAAACAUUAUGCUGUCUCAUCAUCCUAGAAACUAUACAUCAUUACUUAGAAUUAUUCCCAAGUAUGCUUAAAAAAAUCCUAAAAUAACAGAAAACAGAAGAAUGAAUUGCCUACAACAGGGCUAACAUAUUAUGGCAUCCAUGCUAAAUGCAAUCCACCACCUGUUUCUUAUACAUAAAGUUUUAUUGGAACACAGCCAUGCUUAUUCCCUAACAUCCUGUCUGUGGUUGCUUCCAAAUAGGCAGACUUUAGUAGACAAACUAAAUGAACUACAAAACCCUAAAUAUUUACUAUCUGGCCCUUUACAGAAAACUUCUGCCAAUGCCUGACCUAGAGGAUGAUGUGACAAUGAAAUAAAUCAUCUCUAUUGCAUCACUCUGGGCUUUUUUGUCCUUUUUUAUUUAACUGUGUUGUAAAGUAGUGAAGCAUCUUUUGAAAAAGUAUAAAAGGCCAUCUUUGCUGUCUUUUUAGCUUUCAACAUACUUAAAAUAUUCAGAACUCUUUAUUUUCUGCUCAUAAAUGGUAAAGAGAAAAAACUGACACAGGAAGAUGUUUGACAAUUAGAAAAAUAAUAAGAUGAAUGCAAAAAAAACAGCAGCACUCUAUCACGAUGGCAGAAUUGAUUUUGAUAAAUCUCAAACUGUGAUUUUUCAGUGAUGAUAUACUUGAAUUUCCUCAAACUCAAGAAACACUAAGUGAACCAUAUUAUUUCUAAGGGAAAAAAAGGAAAUAUAAUGUUAUCAUCUGAUCAGUUAUUGAACAGGAAGAACGUCACCAUGCAAUAUUUUGUGAUAAGAACCUGGAUUAUCCUGUUUUGCUAAAAAGAAAUGAGAGACUAUUGUUUAAAUUUCUAUGUACAUCAAAAUUUACUUAACAUGAUUUGUGAAUAGACAGACAUUAAAGGCCAUUUGUAUAAAACAUUACUGAAAGUAAACAUAUGACAGAAAUUUUUAAACUCACUGGAUUGAUCACUCUCCAACAUCAGUGUUAAUUGGUGUUUUAAAAUCUAAACAAAAAUAUUUUACAAAUAUGGAGCAAAGGACACUGUACUCUCCAACAAAAUUAUGAGCCAUCAAUGUUUUCAAAAGUACUGCAUUUUGCUCGCACUGUAAUUUCAGCACUUUGGGAGGCUGAGGCGGGCCAAUCACCUGAGGUUAGGAGUUCAAGACCAGCCUGGCCAAAGGAUGAAACCCCGUCUCUACUAAAAAUACAAAAUUAGCCAGGCAUAAUAGACACGCCUGUAAUCCCAGCUACAUGGGAGGCUGAGGUAGGAGAAUCGCUUGAACUUGGGAGAUGGAGGUUGCAGUGAGCAGAGAUCACGCCAUUGCACUCCAGCCUGGGCAAAAAAGAGUGAAACUCCAUCUCAAAAACAAAAAACAGAAAAACCCCGCAUUUUGAUAAUACAAAAACAAGAAAGAGGCCGGGCGCAGUGGCACAAGCCUGUAAUCCCAGCACUUUGGGAGGCCGAGGCGGGUGGAUCACAAGGUCAAGAGAUCAAGACCAUCCUGGUCAACAUGGUGAAACCCCAUCUCUACUAAAAAUACAAAAAAAUUUAGCUGGGUAUGGUGGCGCGUGCCUGUAAUCCCAGCUACUCAGGAGGCUGAGGCAGGAGAAUUGCCUGAACCCAGGAGGCGGAGGUUGCAGUGAGCCGAGAUCGCGCCAUUGCACUCCAGCCUGGGUAACAAGAGCGAAACUCCAGCUCAAUAAAAAACAAACAACAAAAAAAGAACAAGAGUCAUAAGCUAGACUUCAGUAGUGAUGUAUUUAAAAUCUGGAAUUGAUACUGCAUUUGAUAGAUACAAUGCAAGAAGAACCAAAGUAAUUACAAGUAGAACAUUAUCAGACAUGUAUCUGCUUCUAAACGUGGAAUCAGAAUUUACAAAUGGCUGUGUUCCAGGUCUGUGCACCAAGGGUAAAGAACUGUUAGUUGCAUUUAAAAAAUUGUGCAUUUCAGGUAUGUAAGCCUUUCUAACCAUAAAAACAUGAAACAAAAAUUUGGGUAUGCUACAUCUGAAUUCUUAAUACAUUUUCCAAUGAAAUUGUUUUUGGAUUAUAGUUUGAUUCUUGCUGAUGCGAAUUAUUUGUAAGAUGAUUUAGGAAUAUAAAACCUUAGAAGUACUGCAGAUUUGGAUCCAGACCACCGCAAUCAAGCCAGCCAUAUAAAUCUUUUGGUUUCACAGUGCAAGUAGAAGUUAUGUUUACAACUAUACUGUAGUCUAUUAAGUGUGCAAUAGCAUUAUGUCUAACAAUGUACUUGUGUUAAUUUAAAAAUACCUUAUUAAUAAAACUGUUGGUCCAUCCAAGGUGGUUUACACCUAUAAUCCUAGCGUUUUAGGAGACCAAGGCAGAAGGAUUGCUUGAGGCUAGGAAUUCAAGACUAGCCUGGGCAACAUACCAAGACUCUAUCUCUACAAAAAUAUUAGCUAGGCACAGUGGUGUACAGCUGUAGUCCUAGCUGCUGGAGAGGAUGAGGCAUGAUGAUUGCUUGAGCCCAGGAAUUCAAGGUUGCAGUGAGCUACAGUUGCACCACUGUACUCCAGCCUGAGUCACAGGGCAAGACCCUGACUCCGGUCAUCUAGGCCUUCACUGAGUCUCUUGCCUUGAUACUGAUGUCUGCUGAGUGAUUAGGGCAGUGGUUGCCAAAGGUUGGGGUGGUCGUGGCAAUUUCUUAAAAAUGAAGUCUGCUACAUCAAUUGACUCUUCCUUUGACAAAAGAAUAUGCUGUUUGAUACCAUUUUACCCAUAGUUGAACCUCCUUCAAAACUAGAGGCAUUCCUCUCAAACCCUCUUGCUGCUUUAUCAAGUACGUUUAUAGAAUAUUCUAAAUCCUUUGUUUUCAUUUCAACGGUGAUCACAGGAUCUUCACAGGAGUAGAUUCCAUCUCAAGAGACCACUUUCUUUUCUCAUCCAUAACAAGCGACUCCUCUUUCACUCCAGUUUCAUCAUCAAAGUCUCAGUCUCAUCUUCAGGCUCUACUUCCAAAUCUAGUUCUCUUGCUGUUUCUACCAUAUCUGCAGUUACUUCCUCCUCAGUCAUCUUGUAGCCUUGAGCCCCUCAAAGUUAUCCUUAAGGGUUGGAAUCAGGUUCUUCCAAACACCUGUUGUUAUUGUAGCCUAUGCCCAUGAAUCACAAAUGUUCUUAAUGGCAUCUGGAACAAUGAAUCCUUUCCAAGGGGUUUUCAAUUUACCUUACCCAGAUCCGUAAAAGGAAUCACUAAUUUUGGCAACUGUAACAGUAUGAAAUUAUUUCUGAACUAAGGAUUUUAAAGUCAGAAUUACUCCUUGAUCCAUGGGCUACAAAAUAAAAGUUGUGUUAGCAUGAAAACAACAAUCUCCUUGUAUAUCUAUCUCUAUCAGAGCUCUUAAGUAAAGAGUUGCAUUGUCAGUGAUCAGUAAUAUUUUGAAAGAAAUAUUUUGUUCUGAGUAAGUUUCAACAAUGGCCUUAAAAUAUUCAGUAAACCAUGCUGUAAACAGAUGGGCUAUCAUGCAGGCUUUAUAGUUCCAUUGACAGAGCACAGGUACAGUAGAUUUGGCAUAAUUCUGGUACCCCUAUGUUUUUCAGAAUUGUCAAUUGGCUUCAACCAAAAGUCACCAGCUGCAUUAGCCCCUCACAAGAGAGUCAGCCAGACCUUUGAAGCUUCAAAGCUAAGCAUUAACUCUAGCCAUGAAAGGAUGGUUUCUUUACACUGAAAGUCUGUUGUUCAGCCACCUUCAUCAGUUACCUUCUGGAUAGCUUGGCUAGUUACCUUCUGAAAAACUAGCUAGAUGUUUUGGGUAACUUGCUACGGUUUCUACAUCAGCACUUUUUGCUUCACCUUACACUUUUAUGUUAUGGAGAUAGCAUCUUUCCUUAAAUCUUUUUUUUUUUUUUGAGACGGAGUUUCGCUCUUGUUACCCAGGCUGGAGUGCAAUGGCGCGAUCUCGGCUCACUGCAACCUCCGCCUUCUGGAUUCAGGCAAUUCUCCUGCCUCAGCCUCCCGAGUAGCUGGGAUUACAGGCACGCGCCACCAUGCCCAGCUAAUUUUUUGUAUUUUUAGUAGAGACGGGGUUUCACCAUGUUGACCAGGAUGGUCUUGAUCUCUUGACCUUGUGAUCCACCCGCCUCGGCCUCCCAAAGUGCUGGGAUUACAGGCGUGAGCCACCGCACCCGGCAUUUCCUUAUAUUUUAUGAACCAACCUCUGCUAGCUUCCAAUUUUUCUUCUGCAGCUUCCUCACCUCUAUCACCCUUCAAAGAACGGAUGAGAGUUAGGGCCUUGCUUUGGAUAGGCUUUGGCUUAACGGAAUGUUAUCUGUGGUUUAGUCUUCAAUCCAGACUACUCAAAUUUUCUCCGUAUCAGCCAUAAGUCUGUUUCACUUUAUUAUCAUUCAUGUGCUCAAUUCAGUAGCACUUUUAAUUUCCUUCAACAACUCUUCAACUUGGCUGUUUGGUGCAAGAGAGACCUAGUUUUCAGCCUAUUUGGCUUUCACCAUGCCUCUCUCACUAAGCUUAAUCAUUUCUAGAUUUUGACCUGAUGUGAAAGACAUGCGACUUUAUCUUUCACUUGACCAUUUAGAAACCAUUGUAGGGGUAUUAAUUGGCCGAAUUCCAAUAGUGUUGUGUCUCAAGGAAUAGAAAGGCCCAAGGAGAGGAAGAUAAACAGAACAGCCAGUCAAUGGAGUAGUCAGAACAUACACCACACUUAUCCAUUAAGCUUGCAGUCUUCUUCAGAUGCAGUUCAUGGCACCCCAAAACAAUUGCAAUAGUAACAUUAAAGAUUGCUGAUCACAGAUCAACAUAUAAUAGUGAAAAAUUACCAAAAUAGUGUAAGAAUUACCAAAAUGUGACACUAAGACAUAAAUGAGCACAUGCUUUGGAAAAACAGUAGCAAUAGAUGUCCUUGUUGCCACAAACCAUCAAUUUGUAAAAGACUCACUAUCUUUGAAGCAUAAGACAAUGCACAAUAAAACAAGGUGUGCCAGUAUAUUGAAAUGUGACAAGUUUAUGAUGAUUCUUGAAUUUGUAUUUGGCUUCAGAAUGAUGAUUCCUUACCAGCAGCCCCUCCCAUAACUGCAAUAAGUAGUAGGUAUAGCCAUCUGAAAUGAACUUGUUAAGAGGAGGAAACAUCAAGAAACGAGGCACACUACAAAUCACUGUACAACUGCAGCUGAGUACCCAAAACCCUUCGCAAUCUUUUAUGUCACUAGAAUAUCAGUACCUCCAUUUUCCACUUAGGAAAAUUAUUAAUCCCUCUUUUGAAGCACCUUUUUCUAACCCCUGUUACACCAUUUCCCUACCAUACACUUCAGAAAAUGCAAUGAGGAAGAAAUAGGCUAAUCACCAUAAGCAACUAAUAUUUAAUAGGCUCUCUUGCUCAUGGCCAGUCUUUCCUUUUAUAUUCUACAUUCUAUUCAUUUUUGUCUUCUCUAGGACCUUGUCCAUAAGAUACUACCACCACCCAUCUCCCUGUACAUCAUCAUUCUCUUUAUUACUAUAUAGUUUUUACUCAGAGUAUACAGACAUUCUCAAAUUCUCUCACCAUAAAACUACAGGCAAAUAAAGAAAAGUAUAAACCAGUUUUUACCCUAAUCCUCUUCUAUCACUUUUUAUUUCCUUUUAGUACUCCCCAGUCUUUAAAAAGCAUGGCUGUGGUUUAUCCCUGCUGUUUCUACUUUUGCCUCCAAAAAACUCCCUCCUGUUCCUAGUGCAACUUGCCUUUCCCCACAACUGGUUCUACUCUCAAAAAGACACUAGGAUGUUCCUGAUUACCUAAAUGAACAUAGAUAAAAACUAAGAUUCUCUUACAGUUCACCUUAUAAAAAAAUCUAAAUUAUCUGCAGUUUUAAAUUGUAUCCAAACUUAAUUGUACAAAUGUGUGCAAAAACAUACCACCAAAAUGCAUUUUAAAAUAAAAUGUUAAUUACUGCAAUAAGAAACGCAACACUGACCUGCAUUGGUACAGGUUCCUUAAGAUAAUACCCUUCAACAAUCUGUUCUUUUCGAUAGUGAUCUAUGAUGUCCCCAAUGCUGUUAAAAUAAAAAUUUCUAAUAUUAAUCUGUCUCAUAAAAAUGCAAAAUCCUUAAAAAUAUGUGUGAACUUUCUACCAAAGAUUAUCUAAUAAAUAAAUUUUUUUCAAAGCACAUAACACAAAUAUAUUAAUAGAAUAAAUAUGUAAUGUUCAUAUUAUUUUAGAAAAACUAGAAUGUUCUCAAUAUAGGUUUACAGGCCAGAAUACACAGCACAGAUUCUGAUUUUCCAUACACAUCAAGAGGGCAGCCAAGUCAACAAUGCCAUACUCAAAGAGUCAUCAUAAAUGAGGAAGUAACUGAAAGUCUACCUUUUUUUUCACCCCCAAGAGUACUUCUGAGAUACUAAGAAUGAAGAAUUCACAGAAACAUGGUACUUAUUUAGGAAGCAAGUUCAAGUAAAUUAAGAAUUUUUAUUGUUACAACAUUUACACAUUCUGGUUUCAGAUCAGAAACAGGUCAUAAAACACAUGAAAAACAGGCAAAAAUAGAAUUAAAAAUGAGUUAAUCUUACAUGUAAGAUUAUCACUAUAGAGAGAAAAGUUUAUUGAUUAUUUUGAUUAGAAGUGCUACAAAUUAUUCUAAAUACUGGGAAAAUAUUUUAAAAAACAAAAUUGAAAAUAAAAUGACAAUGUAUUUUAAUAUAAAUUUUAGUGAACCACCUAAUUUUUAAAAUAUAAACUCAUUCCUCUAUAAUCAGUAAGAUCAUUCUGUUGUCCUAAAUAUGGAAAUCUUGGAAUUUUAAACUUCCCUUUAAUAUACUGGACAAAUGGUAACUUUUGAGCCACCUAGGAAACACUUCUCCAGACAGAUUUUAAUUUUCAUAAUGCACUUAUCACAUAAAACCAUGUGCACUCUUCUUGAAGCAUAGAUAAAUGUUAAUCCUCAAGGUCUGGCCAAAAUCCAUUCUCUUCCUUCUCACCACCCACUGAACUCUCAUCUGCUGAUUCCCAUGCACAUUUAUACAUCACCUGAAUUUAUCACAGUCUGCAUACUAUACUAUCUCUUCUAAUAAACCUGAGCACUAAUAAUGAAGAAAUUCUUUUUCUUUAAUGUAUUGACACAGGAUUUGUACAGUAUAUUUCACAAAGUAGAUAAGUCUAUAAAUUUCUGCUGAAUUAAAUUUGCUAUUAAAUGCCUUUUUGGCUUUUUUAAAACUCUCAAUAUAGGAACAUUAAAGUUAUGUCUUCAUAGUUUCUAAAUGAAAGACAUAACUACUGCCUCUCUUUCUCAAAGGUCUCAUAUGUAUAGUAGAUGGAGAGAUGGGACAGCAGAGUAUGGCUGUAUUUCUUCCUAGGAAUUAUUUCCAACAUUGUUACUAAUGUUAAUGCUGAAAUGAAAUAUAUAUUUCCAAAACAAUUACAAAAUCCUUCAUUUUCAUGAUACCUGAUUAACAUAAUUUGGGGCUUUCUUUAAAAAGUUUAAUGUUAAAACUAGAAACAGUAAAAUGAAUUUGUAAACAAAUUCAGAGGGAAUAAAAAUUCUAAAAAAUCAAAGUUCUUGGGGAAUGGUCAAGGCCACUAAAUUAAUAUACAUUUAACUUUAAAAAAAAAAAAACCUGAUUUUGAAAACAGACUAAUAAUAUUGCAAUAAUUUGGACAGAAAUCACUUAAAAUACUUCUUUUUUCAUGUUCCAUCAUGGUAUUUGGCAAAAAAAAAAAAAAAAAGCAACUACCUUUUCAUGUUUUACUUAGUACCUCCACUAUGCAGCAAGAAUUUCCAAUUUUGUGUGAUAUGUAUUAAGGAAGUUUUAGUCAGUGACAAAACAAACUUCCAAAAAUUCUAUGUAAAUUGUUUUAUCUUUAAAAACAAUCUCAAUAUGGACAUUCAUUCAGUUAAGAAGAAAAUAUGUUUUCAGUGUAUUAUUUUAUAUGUUCUAAAUCUCUAGAAAACUGGAAAUGGGAAAAAUUACAUUCUUAAAGAGUUCAAAUUGCAGUUAGCUGUAUUUUCAGUGAGGACAUCUAGAACUCAGAUUGUCAUGCAGAAAGUACUCAAGCAACUUGUAUAUGAGGUAGGCAAAAGGGUCCCACUGCCUAGACUCCCAUUUUACAUUUGAUGUCUUGUAACAGUCAAGUGAGCUUCCAGCAAGCAACCAGAAGAACUUGUUUUAUUUUUUGGUUGUUUUUUUUUUUUUUUUUUUUCCCAGAUAAACCAGCUACAGAAUCUCUCUUCAUUCAGAUGUCUAGUUUGAUAAAUUCUAAUUCAGAUAGAGAUUGCUACUGUGGUAUUGAGGGGUUAAACUAGGCAAAUGUAAGUGUUUUAGAACAAGAUUAUGCCAGCCUCUGAAAAAGGAAAAUAAUGUUACUCUAGAGUUAUUAGUUAUAGGAAACCCUUUACAUUCACAAAUGAAGAUUAUUUUCUAUUUGACAGAAAAAUGACAGAACAUUCUAUCAUAUGGUUUCCUCUAUUAACUUAUUUUCCUAAUCAAGUAAUAAUUCAUUCUGAGUUUUGGGACAAUUAGUUUACUUUGAAAGUGAGAAGUAAAAAGCAACAAUCACAUAUAAGAAAUGUCAACUUGAGAACAACUCAAUUACAAGAUAAUCUGUAUAGUAAGUCUCAGGUAACUUUAGAAACUUUUUUUUUCAUACUAAAGUAUCUCACUAAUAAAAUAAUAAUAUUUUCUUUUUCUUAGAUAUUUUGCUCCUCCUACAGAUUAUAUAUGGAUUUAGCAAAUUUUUUUGCAAACAGCUUAUGUCUAAUUUUCAAAUAGCAAAAAUUACUUUGGAAGGAAACAAAGUAUAAGUUACUAAUUUGUAUUCAUAUUUGACACUGUCUAAAGAAUUACUGGGCAUGACUAUUAUGAAGUUCUUAUAAUUUUUUGAAGCUAGAAACUUUUAUAUAAUUUUGAAUCUUUUAUUAUCAAGAUUUCAACUAUUUUUGCUAAAAGUAAAAGGUAACUAAAAAAAUUAUGAUUUACCUGUUAUAAUACCGGCCUCCCAUCAUAAACUGAUUGUUUGGUGUUGGACAUAUUUUAAAUCGCUGAAUAUUUUCACUGGUCCGAAAAUAAAGUGAAUAAUCACCAGGAGUAUUAUCUGAGGGCCUCACAAGAAAACUGCAGACUUGACCAACUGUAAAAAUUAAUCUGUUAGUUUUGUUACCUAAUUAUCAAAUAAAAAAGAAAAGAUGUUAAGUAGAAUUAUUACAAAGUCCAUUCAAAGUCAUAAACAUGUAAAUUUUCACCAGAACAUGUUUUUUAAACAAAUUUUCUGGUUUAUGAUUCACAACUAUCCAUUUUGUCUAUCUGCUCUCUCUGAUGUGUCUUACCAGCUUUAAUACAUAAAAGUAGAGAGCAGAAAUUUUGCAGCAUAACUUCUGGUCAGUAAUGGCUACACCUGUCAUAAUUUGGAAAGGUAACCUAAGCAAAAUUAGGGAAUAUGAGCUAAAACUGCUAAAAUCUGUUUGUAAAUCCUCUUGAUAAGAUUCUAAAAAGUAAAGACUAAUUUUGCUUAAGAAUACACUGUGCCUAACGUUUUCAAUUAAUCAUUAAACAAUAAUGACUGUGCCAGGCAUAGAGGUAUACAUGCAUAUAAUCCCAGCUAUUCAGAAGAAUCACUUGAGCCCAGGAGUUCAAUACCAGUCAGGGCAACAUAGCAAGAUCCUAUCCUAUAUUUAGUAAGAAUAAACAAUGACAGGAUGAUUAAACCAACAAUAUAAGUCAAUUUUAACUUUGUAUUUAUAAGCAAAAGAGUUUUGGGAAAUGUUAAAAUUAAUACAUAUUAAAUAGACUAAAUCAUGUAAUUCCACAAGUGUACAAAGAUAUAUACAAGAAUCUCUUUUAAAAAAUAACGAUUGUAAUAAAAUAGUACCAAAACCUUUUAAAAAGGUAGAUUCAAAACAACUGAAAUAUAUAUAUGAAUUAUCAAAAUCAAUACACACACACUGUAUUUUAUUCAACAGGUAUGCUCCUACAAGAAAUUAUAGAAGAAAAUUAUCAUACAUUAAAUAUGCCAUAUUAAUUUUAGAGAACUGUUGAUAUCUUUGAUUGGCAGUGACUCCUAAUACUGAGAUGCUCUACCUUUUCUCUUUAUUUAAAUAUCUAAUUUAUUUAUAAAUUAGAUAAAGUCCUUUUUCUGUUACCACAUGAUCAAAACUAAACAAUCAAUACAGUAAGUUUAAUUCAAAUUGAUACAAUGAAAUAAAUGCAAUUAAUCAAAUAAUCUCAUUCUUAAUACAUUUUUAUUAUAUUGUAUAUACAUACUAUAUUUUAUUUCAACAAAAUGUAAUAAAACUAGGAACUAUCAAAUAUAAACUACAAUUUUCAUUACCAAUACAAAAAUGGCAACAAUUUUUAAUCCUGAUUAAUAACAAACUGUUAUAGGUUUUCUUUUUCUUUUCUCCAUUUAAGUCCGAAUGAUAUAGAAAAGAUCAGGACUUGAUUGUUUUUAGGAAAGCACAAUAAAUGCGUAAGAUAUAAUUUUUUUUGGGUAAAUUACUAAUAGUUCCAAUCAUCCAAUCAAGGCACUUAUUAUCAACUAACUUCCUGUUCAGUAAAAAGAAAAAAUAAAUCUCCUAAAACUGAAUCUUCAAGACUCAACACAUAUGUAAACAUAAAAGUUACAAAAACUGACUGCAUAAUAUAGGCUAAAAUGAAAAUGUUUCUAAGUUGAUAAAACGAAUCUUAGUGACAAGACUCCAAGAUACUCUCUAAAUGUCUUCUAAAAUAUGAAAGGAAUUUCAUGCAAAAUUGUUCAUGUAAGUGCUUAUUUGUACUCCUCAGGAGAGAAAAAUCCCACCAGUUCUCAAAAGAGCACAUAACACAAAGAAAAUGCAAACUAAUGUAAGGAAAUUAAGCUUAGCUCCUUUUCAACCUUGUAUGCCUAAAACAAGAGUAAGUACCUCAAGUACUUGGUGAUACGAGUUCCAGAAGAGAAACUUAUAUUCAAAAUUCAGUAAAUUCACUAAACUAUUUAUUUUUGGUUCCACACUGAAAUGGCUGUUAGAAUGUCAUUUUAGUUUAAAAUUUCUUCUCUAUUAUUAUCAUAUAGCAUUAUCAUCUUUUUUUAACUUUUUGGAACCUAAUUAACUUACAUGUUCACAAUAAAAUUGAGUACUUCAAAAACUAUCUCAGAUCUUUCAAUAAAGUAUUAAAUUAAAAUGCAAUGCUUUUAGGCUGGGAGCUGUGGCUCACGCCUGUAAUCCCAGCACUUUGGGAGGCCAAGGCAGGUGGAUUAAAAGGUCAAGAGAUCAAGACCAUCCUGGCCAACAUGGUGAAACUCCGUCUCUACUAAAAAUACAAACAUUAGCUGGGGCGUGGUGGCACGCACCUGUAGUCCCAGCUGCUCUGGAGGCUGAGGCAGGAGAACUGCAUGAACCCGUGAAGGGGAGGUUGCAAUCAGUAAGAUCGCACCACUACACUCCAGUCUAGUGACAGAGCGAGACUCUGUCUCAAAAAAUAAAUAAAAUAAAAUAAAAUAAAAUGCUCUAUGGAUUAAAACAAUUCAGAUUACAUCUUUAAUAAUUAGUGUUAUCAACAUAAGAGUUUAUUUCACCAAAUACAGAAACUACUGAAUAGUCAACAUUUUUGAAGAAAUAAAACUUUUAAAUUACAUACUAAAGCUUAAACGCGUCUGAAAUCUUUAUAAGAUGUGCUCUGCCGAAGAAAUGCUUGGUUUUUAAAUUAAUUCAGCCUUAAAUAUUUAGUAAAAAUAAACAAUGACAGGAUGGUUAAACCCACAAUACAAGCCAAUUUUUUUUGUAUUUAUAAGCACAAGAGUUUUGGGAAAUGUUAGAAUUAAUAAAUAUUAAAUAAGGGUAAUCAUAUAAUUCCACAAGUAUACAAAGAUAAAUAUAAGAAUCUCUGCUGUAGCUGAACAGCAAAAGAGUAAAAUACAAUAUCCUUCUAUUAAAGACUAGUUAAUUACAGUACUUAUAUAUUGAAAAGUUUAAGGCCAUAAAAAAGAGUAAUGAAAAUUUUUAUCUGCAGAUACAGAAUCAUCUCCCAAUAUAUAUCUAACAUGAAGAAAUUGUGCUGCAUAUUUACAUGUGUGUAUGUGUAGGGGUGAGAGAGAUUCACAGAGACACAGAAAACUUCUAGAAACAUAUGGAAAAAAACUGUCAUCUAGUAUUACUUCUAAGAAGUGGACAGGAGCCUGAGGUAAAAGAAAAACACUUUACUAAAUUUUAUACUACAUGCAUGUUUAAAAUAUAAACAAAAACACCAGCUUCUUAGCACUGGACACAAAAUUAUAACAUGCAUAAACACUAAGCGUUUUGCUAAAUGCAAAACACAUAAUAAAUGCUUUGUUCACCUUUUUAUUCUCUUUAAAUAGACAUUAGAAAAGCAAGUAAAUACAAAGGUACCUGUCAUUAGUAAAUUGUAAGCUUCUUGUUUGGAAAUCUUCCCAUGGAACCAUCUUAAAAAGAUAAUAAAUUAGAUAUAUAAAGUACUUUUUUUGUUAUAUGAUCAAAACUAAACAUUUAAAUACAAUAAGUUUAAUUCAAAUUGAUAUAAUGAAAUAAAUGCAAUUAAUCAAAUGUCAUUCUUAAUACAUUUUUAUUACAUUGUAUAUAUAUACUAUAUUUAAUUUCAACAAAAUGUAGUAAAACUAGGAACUAUCAAAUAUAAACUACAAUUUUCAUUACCUAUACAAAAAUGGCAACAAUUUUUAAUCCUGAUUAAUAAUAAACUGUUAUCGGUCUUUUUUUUCUUUUUGUGGGGAGGAGGGAAGGAGUAGUAUAGACAGCACCUACUCCAGAAUUUCCUGAAAAACGUAAUAAAUUUUUUCUCCUAUUUCUGUAUUUUCCUAUAACAUGGAAAAUUUAACAUGAUGAUAAAUUCUCUCUUCCAAUAAAUUCAAGAUGUGUUGACUCUUACUUUGCUAAAAGCCAGAAUAUAAGACUGGGUGAUAAGAACAAGUGGAUACCAACACCAAGAACUGAAAGAAAAGAAGGACUUAGUGCUCCUAACUCUAUUGGAGCUAAUAGCCUAUCAAACUAGGUUGCUAAGUAUUUUAUAGUCUGUAUUCUUAAAUUAAGCCUUUCCAAAUUUUAUAAAUGGCAUCACAGUAAAAAUAUAGAGUAUAUAAUAACAUAAAUAUUUAAAUUUUACCUUCAAAUAAAAUAAUCUCUCUGAUUUAAAAAGUAAUUACUAGUUAUCAAAGUACAUAAAAUCACCUCUUAUUUACCUAAAGGCCUGAUUAACACAUCUUAAUGCCAGGCUGACAAUUCCCAAUCACCUUUCUACUACUUUGCUGUAUCUUAUUAGGGUCUACAGUUAAUCUAAAUAAUAGAUUAAAGAGCAAGCCGGAAAGUAAACAUAGGACUGAAAUACAUAAGUGCUCUAAAGUCCAGAGUUACAGGUUCAGAGGUUGUUCACAUUGUUUUAAAUGAUCCAUACUAUUAUUACUGCUGAAGAAUGAAAAUAUAAUUGAAUUUCUUUUCAUAUGAAUAAAAAGGUAAACUUUUCUUUAAUACCAUUCCAAGCAUGAACUCACUAAUUCAGAUCUCCUGGUGCUCCCUGUGCAAAUUUUGAAUAAUAUAAAGCAAAGUGUACAACAACUAAAACAGUCCAGACUGCAUGUAGUGAGGAUCUACACUGCAUUUGAGCAUAGGCUAAAUGACCACUUACUACAAAUGUUAGAGCAGGAUUUUUAUACUCUGGAGGAGAGUCAACUGAAUGACCUUACCUCCAAGGGUAAUCCUCUACUUUUACAGUUUGAAAAAAAAUUCAGAAAGAGAAUGGUAAAAAAAUGAUAAGGUUUACAGAUGAAAAAGAUUAUUUAGCAGAAGCACACAGUCUGAAGUUAAAGCGGCAAUAUCACUUUCUAAAAACAGUUUCAUUCUUCAGACAUUUAUUCCAGUAUAAAAUUUAUAUAUUUCAACCACAUGGUUUGCAACAAUGAUAAAAAGAUGAGUCCCUGAUCUUAUAAAGUUCUCACUCCUAGGCCAGGCAUGGUGGCUCACACCUGUAAUCCCAGUAUUUUUGGAGGCCAAAUCAGGAAGAGCUCUUAAGCCCAAGAGUUCAAGACCAGCCUGGACAACAUAGUGAGACCCUGUCUAACUACAGAAACGACAUAGAAAAUGUAAGCACAGUGAUAGGUAUUGCCCAAGGCAUUAUGGGAAUAACAGAGAAGGGUACCAAUUCUGUUGAGUGUGUAGGGAAGAAAAUAAAGGAAGAUUUCCUAGGGGGAAGUGAUAAAUGAGCUAAGUAUGAAUGGAAGAAUUCUGGUCUAGGAAGCAGCUUGAGCAAAGGUAUAAAGAAGAAAAAUAGCCAGGAACAAUGGCUCACACCUAUAAUCCCAACACUUUGGAAGGCCAAGGUGGGAAGAGGCCAGGAGUUUGAGACCAGCCUGGGCAGUAGAGUAAGACCCCCUCUCUACAAAAAAAAAUUUACAGCAUUUGCCAGGUGUGGUGGUACACAUUUGUAGUCUCAGCUACUUGGGAGGCUUAGGCAGGAAGAUCACUUGAGCCCAGGAAUUUGAGGCUGCAGUGAACCAUGAUAGCACCACUACACUCUAGCUUAAGCAGUGGCAAGAACCUAUCUCUAAAACAAUAAAGAAAAAAGUAGUAUGUGUUUGAAGACCUACAAGAUGGAGAUUAGAAAACUAGAGAUGAUAAGUGAUACGAGUAGUAAAGGACAAAACAGCCAUAUAAUGGAUCAUUUUUUUAGGCUCUGCUAAGGUAAAGGUGGAGAAUCAGUGUAAGAUUCAAUUUUUUAAUUUUUUUUUUUUCUGUUUUAAUGGAUAAUGUAUAUAACUAUUAUGUUGUAUAUUUUUAUGGGGUACCAGUGAUAUUUUGAUACAAGCAUAUAAUGUGUAAUGAUCAAUUCAGGGUAUCUGGGGUAUCCAACACCUCAAGCGCAUAUAAUAAUUUCUUUGUGUUAGGCAUAUUCCAAUUCCUAUCUUUUAUUUUUAAAUAUUCAGUAAAUUAUGGUAGCACCUUAUUGUGCUACCAAAUACUAGAUCUUAUUCAUUCCAUCUAGGCGUAGUUUUGUACUCAUUAAUCAGCCCUGCUGUAUCCCCCCUCCCCACCCUUUGGUAAGCACCAUUCUACUAUCUACAUGAGUUCAAUUUUCUAAUAUUUUGCUUCCAUAUGAGUGAGAACACAUGGCAUUUGUCUUUCUGUGCCUGGCUUAUUUCACUUAACAUGGUAUUCUCCAGUUCCAUUCAUGUUGUUGUGAAUGACAGGAUUUCAUUCUUGUUUAUGGCUGAAUAGUAUUCCAUUAUGUGUACGUACUAUAUUUUCUUUAUCCAUUCAUCCACUGAUGAACACUGAUUAAACAUCUUGGCAUUCUGAAUGGUGCUGAAAUGUGGGAGUGCAGCUUUCUCUUUGAUAUACUGAUUUCUUCUCAAUUUUCUGAGGAACUUCCAUGCUGUACUCUAUAGUAACUACACUUAUUUAUACUCUCACCAACAGGGUACAAGGGUUCCCUUUUCUCCACAUCCUCGCCAGCAUUCAUUAUAGCAUAUCUUUUGGAUAAAAGCCAUUAUAACUGGGGUGAGAUGAAAUGUCAUUGUAGUUUUGAUUUGCAUUUAACUGAUGAUCAAUAAUGAAUGGUGAGCAUUUUUUCAUGUAUCUGCUGGUGAUUAAGGAUUUUAGGUGAAAAUGUGAUACCAUCUAGGUAAAUUAUUCUAGCUCCUGGAAAAAAGGAUUUGAUAAGGCUAAAGAGUCAAGGGAGAUCAACUUGGAGGUUAUUGCUAUAUUGAAUCCUGGCAAGAGAUUUAAAAAGGCCUGAACUAGAAUAUAGUUAUUUAAGAUUUGAGAAGGCGGUAAACAUUCAAGAAAUAUUUUAGGAGACAAAACCAUCCGGACUCGGUGCCUAUAUCAUGGCAACAGAGAGCUGGAAAGAAACCCAAAAUUAUACCAUCUAUUUAAUCUCAAAGGGUACUUAUGGAUGUUACUGAGGACACUUUAAAGAAUUUAAAGUACCGCCUCAAUGCCAUAGUCCUGUAUUAAGAAAUUAAAGGGAACAAACACACACAUAAAAUAAACCAACAAUGCAAACUUUAGUUAUGCUAAAUACCAAAUAAGAAAUUACAUAAAGUUAAGAAAAAUGGAAGAAUGACAAUGCUAUCAGAUAAUAAGACUUCUAAGUGAAAGUGGGAUUUAUGUUUUAUGAGAAAUAUAUGCAGCUUUAAGUGUUUACUGGCAUUUAACCUAUAUUUUUAAAUUAAAAAUUCCAUUGCUAUAAUCCAAAAUAAAAAUAAAAAUCUAGAUUUAUGGUCUUUUGAAAAUCAGGAGGCUCUCACAACACUAGACUCACAUCCCUACACAUAUCAACUAGAGAGAUUACCUUACAACAGGCAAACUCUUUCUAGUUUUCCACCUCCCAGUUUUCUCUAAUAGCAUGAAUGAAUGUCAGUUGCCAUUUGUUACCACACUUAGUGUUGUUUUUUGAUAGUAGGAACAUAGUUCCAUGUACCUUGAUCUCUAUCAAAGAGGGAAAAUAAGAAAGAUCAAGAUUAUUGUCUCUAAAGAAAACUGGGAAUAUAUAUACCUGACCUACUUCACUUGCUUACAUUGUCUAUCUGAUCCUCAAAGCAUUAAUCAAAAUUUGCAACUCCUAGCCAGGCACAGUGGCUCACACCUGUAAUCCCAGCACUUUGGGAGGCCAACGCUGGUAGAUUACUUGAGGUCAGGAGUUCAAGACAAGUCUGGCCAACAUGGCAAAAACCCAUCUCUACUAAAAGUACAAGCAUCAGCCUGGCAUGGUGGUAUGCGCCUAUAAUCCCAGUUUCUCAGGAGGCUGAAGUGGAGAAUCAUUUGAACCUGGGAGGAAGGGGUUGCAAUGAGUAGAGAUCGUGCCACUGCAUUCCAGCCUGGGUGACAGAGCAAGGCUCCAUGUCAAAAAAUAAUAAUAAAAAUAACAAAAAAGAAUUAAAAACUCCUGAAGAGUAUUAGUUUGAAGAGGGGAAGACUUGUAACUAAUACAAACAGCAAGGUACAGUCUCCCUAAUGAAGUCUGUUUUGUAGCCACAAGAAAUAAUAAAAAUGAACUCAGAAAAUCUUACAUAUCUCACUUAAAGAAGGGUGAAGCAUUAAAUAAGGUGAUUGCAAAUGGAGUAGUCAGUUUAAUGUUUUUAUAUUCUAACGGUUAGCAAACAGAAAACCCAAACACUUGAGGCAAGCCUCAAGUUCCAUCCAUAAAUGCUGAACGAUAAGAAAAAAAAGUUGUACUACUGAAAAGAUAUUACAAGAUGAAUAAUCUAUUAAAAUAUAAGACAGAAUUGGGAUUAAUGGUUCAGAUCUUUAAAAGAAAACUUACAUAUACAUAAAAUCAGUCUGAAGAUUAUGAAAAAAAGACCUUGCAGAAUCCUAUUAAAAUUGUGAAGAACCGUUAUGAGGUUGGGGGGGUUGGGAUAAAAGAUGUGGCUUUAAAACAAGAAAUACUUUGAAUAACCAAUAAAUACUACGAAUAAUUUUAAAUUGUGCUGAACUGUGACAUUCAUAAUGUUAUAAAUGUAAUGUUUAUUGAAAGUUUUUAGGUGUGGUGAUAAAGAGAGUUGUAUUUAGUUGUAUCACUAGAUCCUUAAUAAAAUAUUUACAAAUCAGUUCCGUAAGCCAAAUUAAAAAGAUGUUUAAGUCAGUCUAAAAACUUUAAAAAAAAUUUUGGCCAAAGUUUUCCAAUUAGUAAAUUUACAAUAUAGAUAUAUAUUUUUUUCAUUGUAAUAAUUAACACAAACUCACAUUUUUCCUUCAUGUGGAUCUUCUUCCCGGCCCUAAAGGGAAGACACAUUAAGACAGUAUUUUAUAUAAUUAACUAUUAAUCUACUUCUAUUAAAAAUCAUAUCUUCAACCCACACUGCCCUUCACAUUUAUGUGUAUACAAGAAAAGAUGUUUCCGUUCAAGAAAUAUCUUUCCAUACCUAUCUUAAUCUUUUCUUGUUGCCAUUACCCUAACUCAGGCCCUCUUACCCAUUUUUCUUAAAUUAGUACAACAGCCCAACUAAUAUAAUUACCUCUAUGUCCUACUCCACCACUCUAACUUGGACACAUCAGUUUCAACAGCAGCUUUGCCCUACGUUAAGAAAAACCAAACACCUCUCUACUGCCUACAAAUUUCUCAUUCUGCAACUGAAGUCCUUUACCACAGGACUCAAGUCCACAUUUUCUGUCUCAUACUACCAAUUCUUUUUAGGUACCUAUGCCAUGGUCACACAUAACCUCCUAUUUGCCAAUUUCCUACCUGUAGCUUUUUCUUUUUGUUCUCAGAAUGUACUUUCUACUUUUUGCUUUCUACCUGUUAGUUAAAAACCUACCCCAUCUAGGAAGGAACCAUCACAAACGCUACCUCUUCAGCGAGACAUUUGAGCCCCUAAAAAGUGAACACCAACUUCGAAUAUAAAAGACAUCCCCCUUUUAUCAUGUUUUGAACUUUAUUUUAUACUAUACUCCUCUGAUUUAAGAUACUACAGUGUUACUCAUUCCACAUGGAGAAAAAUGAUCUAACUUGGAUUUAUUUUUCACAAUUUGGUCCUCACUCAUGAAAUACCUAAUCAAACUAAAAUCAAACACUCACUGAAUGCUACUAUAUCCAAGGCAGUUGGAAAACAAAAAAACUAUAAAAAUGAAUAGCAUUACCAUUAUAUCACUGCCCAAAAAGGGUUACUCUCUUAUAGAAGAAGUAUACAUAAUAAAUUAAUUUUAGACAGUGUAAUAGAAGGAAACAAUUUUGCCUAAGAGAUUCCAAAAAGGCAUAAAUCCUCUGUGAAACAAGAGGUGACACAUGAACUGAACUGAUAAAGAUGAAUCAAAUUUCACAAGGCACUCUAACAGGGCAGGAAUGUCAAGGAAGAGGGAAAACUAUAAGCAUAGAGACAUUCAUUUACGUAACAAACAUCUACUGAAUGCCUACUAAUGCCAGCCACUAUUCUAGGCAAUGGGAAUACAUGAGUCAAUCGGAGACAAAAGUCCCUCCCCUCACAGAGCAUACAUUCUAGAGUUAAUAUAUAAAAGCAUAAAUGUGUUUGGGGAAUAGUAAUUAUAAUUUUAGAGGGAGAAAUUCUUUAAAUCUAACCACUAACUGAAUGCCUGAAACAUCUUUGCAAUCUAAAAAUGUCCGAAUGGUUUUUUAAUCUACAAGGAAUUCACUAUCCUCUAAUAAAGCCCAUCAUGAAAAUUAUUCUACAUAUUGGAGUAAAAAUUAUUUAUAACUGACCUUUAAUUAUUCCACUAUUAAUUUAUAAUAUUACUAUAUUCAUUUUUAGCAACCACAUCACAUUAUUCAGUUAUACAAAGUUACUAACUUUUUCUUCAUCCCUUGUAUUGACUGAUGUUAGGUCAUGUCUCCUUAUUCUGGUUUGGGUUGUUACUAUUUUUCAGUAUAUGUUGAAUAAUUUUCACUUACUCUUAUUAAAGUUUAUCUUGUUAAAUUUGAUCCAGAAUUCCAAGAGCUCAAGAAAAGUUCAACAACAGUGCAAUUCCUUUAAGUAAUCAGGAUGGGGAAGAUGGUGGUAUAGGAGGGAGAGGGAAACCCAAACUAAAAGUUUUACUAACAAAUUUUAUAGGAAAACUAACAUAGUAAGAUGCUUCAGUAUGAAUACUGUUUGCCUAUAUGGAAUAAAUACCUCUUUCACUGUACAAUACAGAACAAUACACUGUACAAUAAUCUAGGAAUUAGGAGUCCUAAUCCUAGCUCUUUCACUAAACAACUAUAUGACUAUGAGUAUAGAAUGUAUCACACCAUUUCCUCAACUUUUUCCACCUCUACACACAGUAUGCUUUACUUCUAUAUAUGAAGAUCCAGUUGCCAGAAUAGACAGAUAAGAGUAUAGGAAAAGAAAUAUAUUCUCCACUGCAGUCUUCCAGGAGCAAUAAUCAGCACAUACAUUUCAGCAUAUUAUCAGGUCUUCUGAUGGUAUGAUUUAAAAAUAGUAGCUUUGAGGGUUGUAAGAGACAACAGAAAGCCACUCCAUCCCACUGGACAAAUCAGAAAGGAAAGGGAGAAUUCCAAAGUUAUAAUGUUUGACAAAUUUGAUACUGAGUGCUGUCUCUGAAGUAUAAAGGCUAUUCAAAUGCUAACCUGUUAUUAAAAAUGCACGUGGGAAUAGAUACCACAUGAUAACGUAUUAUAUGAUGGCAACAAAAAUAAGGAUGGUAUUCAAACUGUAAAACCAUGCAGUAACGUAUGCAUAAUACAAAUGAAUUCUUCCAAGUUUACUAGAAAAUUAUACAUAUAUUUGAAAGAUAAAGAAUCUGAAACCAAAUCUGUGCAACCAGUUGAGAGUCCAUGAUCAGACUGAUAUAACUUCAUUUAUGAGGAAGAUCAAGAAGGCAAAAAAGAGGACAAAAAUAAGCACAAAUGAGCCAGGUACAGGGGCUCACACCUGUCAUCCCAGCACUUUGGGAGGUCAAGGCGGUGGAUCACUUGAGGUCAGGCGUCUGAGACCAGCCUGACCAACAUGGUAAAACCCUGUCUCUAUUUUAAAAAAUUAAAAAAUUAGCUGAGCAUGGUGGCGCAUGUCUCUAAUCCCAGCUACUUUGGUGGCUGAGGCACGAGAAUCGCCUGAACCUGGGAGGUGGAGGUUGUAGUGAGUCGAGACUGUGCCACUGCACUCCAGCCUGAGCAACAGACCAAGACUCUGUCUCAAAAAAAGCACAAAUGUUAAUAUAUUUCUAAUUCAUAGAAACUCAUUAAGGCUUUCUGAAUAUUGGCAGCUACAUAUUAUAACAAGCUAGCUUAUGUGCCACACUAACAAACAGCACUUAUAAUAAAUAGAUUUUAACGAAAAACUCCUUGUACUUACCAAUUAAGUUCUUUUAUAAAAGAAAUGUAUUCAUAGCUACUUUCUCUGUUUAUGGGCAAGAUCCAAAUUUUAUCAAAUAAUUAGAAUUUAGAAUUGAGAAGAAAAGAACAAAACUUACCACCUCUUCUACUAGGUCUUCAACAAUAAGGCCUUGUUCAUCUGUUCUUAGAUUUGUAACCCACAUCCAUCCAUCUUCUAAUUCAUUAUGAACAAUGAACAUAUCUCCCUUUAGGAAACUGAAAACAGCAAUUUUUAAAUUAUUAAAAAAUUUAAAUACAUAAAUUCGAACAAUCAUACACCACAAAACAGGAUAGUUUUGAAAAAUACUAUAUUUUUCAAAACAGGAUAGUUUUGAAAAAUACUAUAUUGAAAAAUACAAGGAGUCAAAUACCCUAAAUUUGUAUCCUGUUUCUGGCAUUAUCUACAUGUAAAUCUCUGAAGAUAAUAAAUAAUCUGGAUCUUAAUUUCCUCAUGAAUAAAAUGAGUUUGAUAAUAGUAUUUGUACUAUCUCUAACACUGAAUUAUUGUUAGACUCAAAUUACAAUUUCUGUUAACAGAAACUAAUUAUACAUAUAUUAAAGGUUUUGGGGUGUAAGAAAACAAUUGAAAAAUUUAUGUAAAGAGUAAUAAUGUUAUUACUCUUUCAGAUGUAGGUUAUAUAUAAAAUCAAAAACAAGGAUGAUAUUCGAACUGUAUAAAUGAAUUCUUCCAAGUUUACUGGAAAUUUAUAUAUGUAUUUGAAAAAUAAAGAAUCUGAAACCAAACACGUACAGCCAGUUGAGAUUUCAUGAUCAGACUGAUAUAACUUCAUUUAUGACAAAGAACAAGAAGGCAAAAAAUACAUGCUUUGAAAGAAUGCUUCUUAACACAAAGUUUCAAGAUUUGUUGGAUGCUACCAUUAAUCCUGUAUCUGUAACUGUAUCUAUCAUAUUUUUCAACAAUUUUCCUUUCAGUCUUAAUAUUCACAAAGCAAAGUCUAUUAAGUAAAUUUAAGUUAAUCUAGUCUCCUAUCCUUGAAAGCUUUAACUGUUUUCUCUAUGCUAUCUCAAGCUUCACUGUUUGCACAGUGUUUCAAAAAACAGAACUUAUAUACAACAUUUAACUCAGUAAUUGAAUAAUCAUAGAAUAUUAUAUUCUAUCUUGAUUCUACAGUCAUUCUUAAUGAUGGCCAAUAUUUCCCUAGCUGAAUGGCAGCAGACAUGAUCACUUAACCAAUUAAAUUAUUCCUUUCUAGAACCACUUAAGCACAUUAAGGAAAAUCAUUGAGUGUGUAAACGGAGGGUGCACAUGAACUGGUAAAUUUCAUUUCUUAGUUGAAAGUAGUCAUUUCUUAGCUGAAAGUUUCAAUGUUGUUACUAUACCAACUUUUCAUGGUGCAAAAACUAAAAAAAAUUUUUAAAUAAGCUUGUUAGUAGUAAUACAACAUAACCAUAACUCACUCUGUAUUAUUUUGUGUUUUCCCCCUCAAAACAAACUAAAAUGAUUUAUUAAAUCAUUAAUUUUUAAGGUAUUUUAUUUUAAAAUUCACAGGUAUGCACAAAUUUGUUAAAAGACUCAUAAACCCAAAUUUAUAUCAUCUAAUUAUUGUUUAAAUUCCCAUCCUCUUUUUCUUUGCUCUCUCAGGACCUCUUACACUCUUAAAAAUUGAUAAUCUAAGUGGCUUUAUUUAUAUGGAUAUCUAUAGAUAUUUACCAUAUUCAAAUUUAAAACAAAUAUUUAAAAAAUAUUAAUUCCUUUAAAAAACUCAUUAAAAAUAUGAAAAAUAUUUAUAACUUUUACAAAUUUAGUGAGAAUAUCACUGUUUUGUAAUUUUGCAAAUCUCUUAAUGCCUGGCUUAAUUGAAAACUGCUGGAGUCCCAUAUCUGCUUCUGUAUUAAAUUUGCUGCUAUAUGAUUUUUUGCUCAAAGCAUAUGAAGAAAAUCUGGCUUCACCUAAGAAUAUAGUAUAAAAGAGAUAAAUAUUUUAAUAACCUUUUCUGAUAAUUAUAGAUAUUCUAUGAAAUCACACCAAAAUCUCAACGAGUGGUACUAUCUUGAAGGUUAGUUGUAAUAUGGAAUCCAAAACUAUUUAUCAGUGAACUUUCUGUAUGCAUUCCAGUAACAUCUACUGGUCUAUCUAGCACUUUGAAUUAAUCUUUUACUCAUGCAUAACGUCAUACAUUUACCAUUUAGAAAAUAUUAGUUCGCUGAGCUAUGUCUAUCUUCUAGUUAUUAACACAUUAUAUACGCUAUCAAAACCUCUUAUUCUUGGCCAGGCACAGUGGCUCAUGCCUGCAAUCCCAGCACUUUGGGGAGGGCAGGUCACCCAAGGUCAGGAGUUCAAGACCAACCUGGCCAACAUGGUGAAACUCCGCCUCUACUAAAAAUACCAACAUCAGUCAGGUGUGGUAGCAGGCGCCCACAGUUCCAGCUACUCAGGAGGCUGAGGCAGGAGAAUUGCUUGAAUCUGGGUUGCAGAGGUUGCAAUGAGCCAAGAUCGUGCCAUUGCACUCCAGCCUGGGUGACAAGCAAAACUCGUCUUUAAAAAAAAAAAAAAAAAAAGGAAAAAAAAAUUUAUUCUUUAUUAUCACCACCUAUCUCAUCAGAAAAGUCAUUAUCUCAGAAAUUGUAAAAUUCUUAAUGGCCAAUACAGAAAAGUCUAAAAUUCUCAUUUUUACUCAAAACUCAAAUUUUGUUAUUGACAACAAAUACUAACAGUUAUUUUCCUUGAAAUAAUAGUCUCACUUUGUUCUUUUUCAAAAAAUGUUAAACAUUCUCGCAAGUGAAAUGGUGUGCACAAAAGUAACAGCUAAGCCAAGCGCAAGGGCUCAUCCCUGUAAUAACAGUACUUUGGGAAGCCAAGGCGGGCAGAUCACUUGAGGUCAGGAGUUCGACACUGGCCUGGCCAACACGGCAAAACCCCAUCUCUACUAAAAUACAAAAAAUUAGUUGGACCUCGUGCCACACGCCUAUAAUUCCAGCUGCUCAAAAGACUGAGGCAUGAGAAUCCCUUGAACCUUGAGGAGGUGGAGGCUGCAGUGAAACAAGAUUGUGCCACUGCACUCCAGCCUAGGUGACAGAGCAAGACUCUGUCUCUAGUUCAGUUAUCUCACAUUGCUUUUUCUCAUGGCACUGAUCUUGGGUACAUAGCAGAAGUGUUUUAUACAUACUUCCCAUUUCAUCAUACAGAUUAAAGUUGUAUGGUCACAGGUUGAAAUUUAAUAAAUAUUGUUUACUUCCUCAUUAAUAAUGCUGUUACAUGAAGCUGUCUUUAACCCCAAGUGUGUAACAGUGAAGAAUACUGUACACUUUUGUACCACAGUCUUCAUUUCUACUAAGACACUGCAGUUUUACCACCCAUUGCUUUUGUACCAUCACUGUAAAAUUCACAAUGAAAAAGGCAAAUUAUGUCUUAGUAUGGUUAUGAAAAUAAUCUGAUCUCAUGGGUUGUGAUGAUCAAUUUUAUGUGUCAACUUGGCUGGGCUGCAGAGUUCCCAGAUUAAAUAUUAUAUUUCUGGGUUUGUCUGUGAGGGUGUUUCUUAAUGAGAUCAGCAUUUGAAUCAGAGGACAGUAUCCUGCCGUCCCCAGUGUAAGCAGGCAUCAUCCAGUUGACUAAGGGUCUGAAGAGAACAAAAAGUGGAGGAGGAAGAAAUUCAUCCCUUUUUUUCUUCCUCACUGAUUGUGCUGGGACAUUUCAUCUCAUCUCCUGCACUCAAACUAGGAUUUACAUCAUAGGCUCCCCAGUUCUCAGGUCUUUAGAUGUAGAUUGAAUUAUACCACUGGCCUUCUUGGGUUUCCAGAUUGCAGACAGCCGACUGUGGGUCUUUUCUGCCUCUAUCUAUCAUUGGGGGAACCAAUUCCCAAUAAUAAAUCUUCUCCUCUAGAGAACGCUGACUAAUACAUGAUUCGAAAUGGGUCUCAAAGAUCCCCAGAGUUACAUAGAACAUGCUUUGAGAACUGCUGUCCUAAAUGAUUCCACAAAAAAUUAAAAAUUACCUAAAUUCCUAAAUUUAUAAUUCAUCACUGUUCUUCUUUAAUGUACGCAUUUUCUCCUUUGUCUUUUAUAGGGCUUUCCAGUUUAUAUUACAAAUUACAAUGUGUCAAUAAGAAUUAAAUGAGAUAAUUAAUGGCAAGAAACAAAGUUUCCACUAGAAAGUUAAAUAGCUUAUAGAAAGACACAGAAAAUUUGAUUAUCAAGUUACAAAAUAAAUUAUAUAGAAAUUAAAAAAACUAACAUGUUGCAUAGUUCUAUAACAUUCCAAAGGAUCUGAUCCACCCUGACAGGAGUGAAUAUAAUAGGAGAAAUCUUCCAAUCUAGCUCUUUAAAAUGCCUAUACAUGAGAAUAGAUUAUAAAAUACCUUAUUUCAUCAGUGUCUGGUACUUUUGUGUAAGGCAGAAUAGCUCGUACACGUCUUCUAUCUUCUACUGGCUAGAAACCGUUAAAAAAAACAGGGUUUUAAAAAGACAAUCUUUUUAUCUGAAAGUCAAAAGAGGCAUAUCUACACAGUUAAAGUCAAUAAACAUUCACAUCAGACACUCCAUGAGAUCAAAUAAAUUUUUACUUGGACUAUAAACACCCAGUGCCUAGCAAGGCUAUUUUGUUGUUUUUGUUUUUAUGAAAAUUAUAUUUUAAAUAUAAGCAAUCUGCUUUUAUCAGGUAAUAUGAAUGAUCAUUUCAUUUUAAAUAUACCAUAUGAAACAUGUAAGUUAACCUUUCUCUUAUGAUACAGAAGGCAUUUCAGAAUCCAGCAGCAAAGUCAGGUUUAGUACUAUGAAAUCAGUAAUUUGCCCUUAUACAUUCAGAAAUAUUUGUUAGGCUAUCACCUUACAGUAUUUUUUUAAAUCUGAUUUCUUAAAUAAAAAAUUACUGAAAAGUAUUUUCUUUUUCAAAGAAGUUGUCCAUUUCGUUCUGACAUUAUAACCCGAAUUAAAAUUUAAUACAACGAAUACUUCUUGAAUUAUAGUAAACAUAAGAAACUGAACAACAACAGCUAGUCAUUAUUAUAGUGAAAAAAUAAACUUUUGAAAACUUGCCUCUGGUGGUGCAACUGGAUAAAGCAAUUUUUCUCCUUUAAGCAAACAAGAAACAUGACUGUAAUAACCUAUUAGAUCUGACAGUGAAGAAAAACGUCUUCCACCAAUGUAGUAAUCACCACACAUAGCAAUAAUCCUAUUUGAACAGGAAAAAAUAACAGGAUAAAAAAUCUUUACAGCCAAUUUUAAAGACCAAGUUUCACAAAGAAAUUACAAAUCCGAAAUUUCCAUGCUCUUUUCCUUGUAACUACAUCCUUACACUAAAAUACCAUCUUUAUCAUAGCAAAUUACUUGGGGCUAUUUCUCUUACAUAUAUAUACAUGCAUUUGAUAUGAAAUACGUAUCAGGCUUAUAAACCUCAAUUACAGAAUUCCAUCAAAUAUUUGAAAAUUCACCCUCAGAUACCUCUUCUCACUUUCCGUAUUUAGGGCCAAAUUAACAAUUUUGUAAGUUUUCUCUGGCUAAAAGUAGCUCACAGAUCUGUUGAAAUAUUUACACAAAGUACAGUAAUAAUUUUACAUACUACAUGUGGGAUCAUGGUACUAGUAAAGCUUACUUUAAAAUCUAAAAACCAAGGGUACACAAACAUUUUAUCAUUUAACACUAUAUGCAUUAGAUGAUUUUUUUCAACUUCUUCUGUAAAAGUGAAACAGAAUAUAAUAUACAUAAAUAUAUUUAUAUAUACAGAAUUAAUAUUUGCACUUGAAAAUUUACAUGCCUGUUUCACUGAAGUACAUGUCUACAAAGGGUUUCAGAAUAGUGAAGCUAAAAUAAAGCACACAAACUGAGUUUUAAACAGGGUCUCCUAUACUUUUUGUUAUUCUAUAGUCUAAAAGUAUGUAAUUCCUUUCCUUUAGCCUACUAAAGUUUAUUUGUAAUUCUUUAUGCUUUAAAAGCUAUAAAUAUAUUUGAGAAUCAGCACAGUAAUGCCCAACAAUAUUGUUUUUAAAAAAAAAUUUGACCAUUCAAAAGAAUCUCUCUAAAUCACUGAUGAAAUCAUUUGACUGAAAACAAGCAUCCUUUUCCAUUAUUUGUUACUGAGUAAUUCAUCUUUAUUAUACAGGUAUAUUUAUAAAUAUUAUAUAAAAAUAAUUAUACCAUGUGGCUUCAUAAUAGGAAUAAAGACUUACCUAAAAUGGUUGACAACAUUCAUCUGGCUAAGAAAUGAAAGUACAAAGGACCCUGGCCUCCGAUCACUCUCUCUUAUAAGAUAACUGCCAGAUUUUCCUGCCUGCCUGAGGCGUUCUUCUGCUAUCGUUCUAUCAAGUUUUCCAUGAUACCACCUAGGGGAAAAGAGAGAAGAUAUUACAAUAUAAAUUGCAACUGUAAAAUUUCUAUUGGUACUUGAAAAACAUAUCACUAGGGUUUUAAAUGCCUACAUGUAACUUUAAACAUUUAUAUUUUACUCUGAACCAAUUAAUCCAAUUUUAACUCAAUUCUAUUUAACCUCAGUCUCUCAAAAAAUACUCAUUUACUUGGUCUUUAAUUUGUUCUAGAAGUUCAGUCCUAGUCAUCUCAUACAUAAAUUCUUCCAUUUCUACCCAUCUUCCUACCUCCAGGAUUGCCUGCUAUUCAAAAUAUAAAACUACAGCAACCCAAUCUUUACUUAGAAAAAUAAAAUUUGGACAAAUGGAAAUGAUUAAUUUACCACUUGUAUCUUAUACUAAGGAAUCAAGACUUUACCAGUUCCAUGGAAACUAUGAGUAUAUAAAAUGUUUUAUUCUAUUUUAGUGUUUGUGCCCUGAGACAGGAAAACAGAAUUACACUGUCUAAAGGAUGCUAUUCUAAUUUCCUAUUUGAACAUGAAGCUGAUUAAUCCCUUUGGCUCUAAAAUAAUCUACUCCAUGACUAUAAAUGUGCACUCAACUUUCCAAACUUAUUUAACAAACAUGUGGAAGAAUAAAUAGCACCUUUGUCCCUUCACCCUUAUGGCUCUCAAUUUAACUGUACUCUACCUACAUACUAUCAAAUGAUCUGCUUAAGAAACUGGCUAUAACUCUAGCAUCAUCCAUGAUACCAAGUAUACCUAUCAAAGCCUCAUGGACUGAUAUAAACAGAAACAUACUUAGAAAUAUACCAGAAAUAUCAAACAAGCAUGGUAACAAAUCUCCAAAGUAAUUGUUAUAAAAUCUUUUUACAUUUUUGAUAGUUUAGCCAAACUCAUCCUUAGAUACUUACAGCCGAAUUGGAAACUUUCAGAGUAAAACAAUAAACAUUCAUAUUACAUUGAUAUAUUCAAUUAUGUUACAUAAUAUAGUAUUUCAGCUUUAACAAUGUUUCUUUGUAAUCUUAAUGUUUAUAAUAAUGUAGUAUGUAUAUUAUAUAUGAGCCAAUGAUAAAUGCAUUAUGCUAUUAUUAUUUUUGUAAGACUGUUGUAGUAAAAGCUCAUUAUUCUUGAUUCCUUAAUUUAUAAAAAUAAAACAGAAGGGCCGGGCACAGUGACUCAUGCCUGUAAUCCCAGCACUUUGGGAGGCUGAGGCGGGCAGAUCACAAGGUCAAGAGAUUGAGACCAUUUCUGGUCAACAUGGUGAAACCCCAUCUCUACUAAAAAUACAAAAAUUAGCUGGGAGUGGUGGCACACGCCUCUAGUGCCAGGUACUCAGGAGGCUGAGACAGGAGAAUCGCUUGAACCUGGGAGGCGGAGGUUGCAGUGAGCUAAGAUCACGCCACUGUACUCCAGCCUGGUGACAGAGUGAGACUGUUUCUAGAAAUAAAAAUAAAACAAAAAUACAGAAACUUAAAACUUCUUAAGAAUUACUUUUAGUUUUCUUCUAAAACCAACCUAUGUAUUUAGAGCCCUAUGCAUAAGACUAAAAAUAAUGAAAAACUUAUUUAUAAAACAUAAUUGUAAACUGUCAGUAUUAGAACAAUCAAUCUUGCAUUCCUCUGAAAUCCUAAUCUUAGUGUAGCCAUUAUCUUUGAGACAAAUGACAAUUAAAUUUAACUUUCAAGAACUCGAGGAUUUUUUUAAUCUGAAAUGAAAAGUUUACACUGGAGAUCAUAAAGGUCCUUUGAAGAACUAUAAUUUAACUACACAAGAAAAUAAAAUUUUGAAAUUUCAGGCUAUAAGGUUUAGUAUAAAAAUAUAUGGGAUAUCCUUAGAACAUAAAACUAGUAUAUUCCCCAUUACUUAAAGCAGUGGAACUAUCCCAGAGAACAGAUUUAUAUAUCCAACAAAGAUAAAAUUAAGGACAAUUUUAAGCAAAUCUCUAUUUUUAUGUACUUGUUAUUUGUAAAAUUUCUGUUGUGUCUUAGGCACUAUCAAGAUGAAAAGGUUUUAUUUAAUCUCCUUCAUCUUUUGAAUUCACCAUGAAAUGAUACACAGAGAUCCAUGAGGCAUUACAAAAUUACUACUUUAUAAUAGAUAUCUGACUUAGGAUUUUAAUUGAUACAUGUUUAUUUGUGGUUUUCAGUUUUUUUUUUUGUUUUGUAUUUUUAAGAUGGGGGUUUCACUCUGUUGCCUAGGCUGGAGUGCACUGGUAUCAUCUCACCUCACUGCAACCUCCACCUUCUGGGCACAAGCCAUCCUCCCACCACAGUCUCCCAAGUAGCUGAGACUGCAGACACAUGCUACCAUGCCCAGCUAAAAUUUUUUUUUUUUUUUUUUUUUAAUAGAGAACAGGGUUUUGCCAUGUUGCCCAGGCUGGUCUCAAAUUCCUCGACUCAAGUGAUGUGCCCACCUUAGCCUUCCAAAGUGCUGGGAUUACAGGUGUAAUCUACCACACCGAGUCAGUUUUUUACAUCUAUGUACUUUCCCUAAGAUCUGAGCAUUAAAAUGGGUAGGUCAGUUCUGGAAAAAGACAUUAAUCUAAAUAAGUAACUGUUUCCUACACAAUAGUAAUUUCCUUUCAUGUCAAAAGGUCAUAAGCUUCAAACACAUAAGGCAAAACAUGUCAAUUCUUGAUUAUGACUAUAAACUAUAAUUAAAUUAUCCAGCCAUCAGCUUGUAAACAUUUAUGCAGUUGAUUUGAUCCUUAAAAAAUGUUAAACCAUUUCAACUGUAACAAACCUCUGGCCCAGCCAGAAAUUCUGAUAUAUGAAAACAGUUUAGGCUGAUAGAACUCAGAGAAGGAUGGCUAUGCUGACACUCCCUGAGCUUGUUCAAAAGAGAGAGAGCAUACUAACAGAAGACCAAGACUUACCAGAAACCCAAGAAACCUCCAAUCUAUGGUGAGGCCACCCUAAACAUACCCAAUCUCAUCAGAAACAUCUCCAGUUAUGGCCAAGUGUUUAUUUACGUUUUGUAUGUCGUUAUCAUCACUUGUAAAUGAGAAAAAUUAAUUUCUAUCUUAACCUCAGAAUAUAAUUAAAUACUUGUCCUAAAUUCCUACAAAGAAAAACACAAAAAUGAAAAAUAUUACAUAGGCUUUAUAGUGGAAUGGUUAGGAGAAAAGUUUCUAGAGUCACUGUUUUUGAAUCCCACCUCUACCACCUAGCUGUGCAAAUGUAGGCAGAUUACUUUAUCUCUGAACCUCAGUUUCCUCAUCUAUAAAAGGAAUACAAUAGUGUCUAUCUCACAGACUGUUGGCUUAAUAUUAUUAAAUGAGCUAGCAUGUAUAAAGUUGCUUAGAAGAGUACCUAAUGGAUAGCAAGAACUCAGUAAAUAUUAGCUGGAUUAUUAUCAAACCAACACAGAGGAGUAGAGGAUACUCAAAGGCUAUGGGACUUCUUCAAGAAAACUAUCCAGUUUUAUGACUGUUACAUAAUGGGUGAUCAAUCUGUGAAUGAUCUUAGUCUCAAUUACCCUAUUUUCCAGUCUUGUUUACUUUCCAUCCAAUUUGAGGUAGAGAAAAGGAGAACCCAAUCAUUCUUCUUCUACUAAGGCAUUAAUUUUAGGAAGAAAUUUUCUCAAAACACUUUUUGAACAUUAUAGAUUAUACAGACUGCAGGGCUGCAGAUGCCAUAGUAUUAAUAAACUAGAAAUUCUUACAUUUCACCUGGCAACUCUAGAAGGAAACUCUAAAGGAGCCCCUAUUCUUUUCCCAAUGUGCACAUAUUUUUGGAGGCUGAGGUACAGUAUAAAGGACAGUAUGUACUUGAGAUACCGUGACUUAAAACUGCUUAAUAUAACACGUUAAUAAUAAAGCAUUUAAUGUUCUCCUAUUUUAAAAGUAAAUUUCCCUGUCUCUUCUUCUUUGCCUCUCUAAGGAAGAUGGGAAAAGGAAUAGAAGCAGGAAAUUCAAGAAGUACAUAUAUGUAUUCAUAGCUGGCUUUGUAAAUUUUUCUUGAGAAAUCUUACAGGCAGAUAUGGAACCCCUUGAUUUCAUUUUUCUUAGAACUACAAAUCAAUUUAUAUACAAUAUCAUACAUCUAAGAUAAAAUCACAUGUAGAAUAAGUGAACAAAAAAAGUUACAGAAAUUGCUCUAUUUUAAAUUUGGAAUUACAUCAAUAUUUUUUAUAAAAUGUGUGCUGUAGCUAGCAUGGUGGCUCACACCUUUAUAUCCCAGGACUUUGGGAGGCUGAGGCGGGGACUGCUUGUCCCCACGAGUUCAUGACCAUGAACAACAUGGCAAAAUCCCACCUCCACAAAAAAAUACCAAAAUUAGCCAGUCAUGGUGGAACAUGCCUAUGGUCCUAGCUACUCGAGAUGCUAAGAUAGGAGGAUGGCUUGAGCCCAGGAAGUCAAGGCUGCAGUGAGCUGAGAUCGUGCCACUGCAUUCCAGACUGGGCAACAGAGCAAGAUCCUGUCUCAAGGGGGGAAAAAAUAUGCUGCAUAUUGCUGAACACCUUUGAGGAGCCUUAGAGUAGUCUUUGUGUUUUUUAGUCUGUUUCACUUGAUCAGAGAAAAAUAUGGAAAUCUAUGCUACGAAAAAAUAUCCUACUGUGAAUACAGACAGGCAUUUCAUUGAAACUGUACAAUUAUUUACAACUAACUUGAUAAUCCCAAAUGAAAACUGUCUACUACACAAAAGAAAACCAUUAAAACAGUGCUAACAUAAAUAGACUUCCUUUUAGAAAAAGAAACUAUAUUGAAGUUACCAGCAGAUCACUUUUAGUUUCCACUGUGUUCUUCCUUUUGGUUAUAUCACCGACAGGCACCAAGUUGUUACAGAGAAACAUACAUGCAGAAAUCCAAUUGCCAAAAAAUACUUUGUCGUCUCAAUCACUUGGGACUCUGUGUGCCUGAUCAUAUUACAAACUUCUGAAGUUACUCUGUAAGUCUCAAAAUGCUAAUCAGACUUUCCUAUACAUGUUUGUGUCUUCUAAAACUAAAUUGGUGAUUUCAGGUUGGUAUGAAUUUGCUAAAACAUAAAAAUCAUCUAAAGUUCCCAUAUUUAUUUGUAACAAAUACAAUUCUUACUGUCUGUGAUAUGGUUUGGCUGUGUCCCCACCCAAAUCUCAUCUUGAAUUGUAGUUCCCAUAAUCCCCACAUAUUGUGGGAGAGAUCUGGUGGGAGGUAACUGAAUUAUUGAGGCAGUUAACUCCAUGCUGCUGUUCUUGUGAAAGUGAGUGAGUUCUCAUGAGAUCUGAGGGUUUUAUAAGGGGCUUUUCCCCCUUUUCCUCAGUACAUCUCCUUGAUGACACCAUGUGAAGAAGGGCAUGUUUGCUUCCCCUUCUGCCAUGAUUUUAGGUUUCCUGAGGCCUUUGCAGUCUUGUAGAACUGUUAAUCAAUUAAACUUCUUUCCUUUAUAAAUGA